UACAUUAUUGUAGCAUGUUCCUACCACAUCCCUCUGAGUUAGGAAGCUUGGACACAUAAAGGCUAACCAACAACUGUUCAUUAUCAAUAUUUAUUCUGACACCUUUGCCCAUUCUCUACUUUUCCUAACCAUUUGGUGGGUGUGAUGAACACAUUAUUAACUUCUAACAAAAAAUUUCCUGCCUAAAGACUUGUUGCUUAAUAGGGUUAAAAUAAUGAUAAAGCUUCUGACACCUUUGCAUUGUUGGCAUGAGAUUGAAGGUUUUAUUUUAAGUAGCUGUUUUCUAAACUGAAGUUCAGCAUGAUGGAAGAGUAACCUCUAAGGGCUAUCUACUUGAAGAUUGUUUACUUGGGGAUUAGCAAGACGCUUGGUGGCUUAUUACAAGUUUGGCUUCUUCCUGGAGACACCUGAAGCCUUGAAACUUUCGGAGGCAUGCCCCGUUCCGCUGGUGUGAUUAGAGCAUUGCAGGGAUUUGUUUCAUGAAGAAAUUCAACCAUCAAUAUGAGAGCAUGCUUCCUGGGAUGUCUCUGACAAGAAGCUUGGAUACCCUGGUUCCUGGGGCUGUGGCUGACACUGCACGAGACAAGAUGAGGCAGGAAUACCAUCCGACAUGUUCCUGUCAGGAGCUGUCAUGAGGUGCUGCUUUUACUGGGAAG